rnacentral:rRNA from 1 species
GACGAACGCUGGCGGCGUGCUUAACACAUGCAAGUCGAACGGUGAAGCGCCUUGCUUGUUGGUGGGUGGUGAGGAGUGGCGAACGGGUGAGUAACACGUGAGUAACCUGCCCCCUUCGUCUGGAUAACGGCAUGAAAGUGUGGCUAAUAGGGGAUAUUCUGGAUCUGUUGCUUGAUGGGUCAGGGAAAGAUUUUGUGUCGGUGGGGGAUGGGCUCGCGGCCUAUGAGCUUGUUGGUGGGGUGAUGGCCUACCAAGGCGGUGGCGGGUAGCCGGCCUGAGAGGGUGGACGGUCACACUGGGACUGAGACACGGCCCAGACUCCUACGGGAGGCAGCAGGGGGGAAUAUUGCACAAUGGGCGCAAGCCUGAUGCAGCGACGCCGCGUGAGGGAUGGAUGCCUUCGGGUUGUGAACCUCUUUCGCCAGUGAAGCAGGCCUGCCUCGUUUGUGGGUGGGUUGACGGUAGCUGGAUAAGAAGCGCCGGCUAACUACGUG